rnacentral:rRNA from 1 species
UACGUAGGGGGCUAGCGUUGUCCGGAAUCAUUGGGCGUAAAGCGCGUGUAGGCGGUCCGGUAAGUCCGCUGUGAAAGUCCAGGGCUCAACCCUGGAAUGCCGGUGGAAACUGUCGAGCUAGAGUCCGGAAGAGGCGAGUGGAAUCCUGGUGUAGCGGUGAAAUGCGCAGAUAUCAGGAGGAACACCAAUUGCGAAGGCAGCUCGCUGGGACGUGACUGACGCUGAGACGCGAAAGCGUGGGAG